UACGUAGGUGACAAGCGUUGUCCGGAUUUACUGGGUGUAAAGGGCGCGUAGGCGGGAUGGCAAGUCAGUCGUGAAAUGCCGAGGCUUAACCUCGGAGCUGCGAUUGAAACUGUUAUUCUUGAGUAUCGGAGAGGAAAGCGGAAUUCCUAGUGUAGCGGUGAAAUGCGUAGAUAUUAGGAGGAACACCAGUGGCGAAGGCGGCUUUCUGGACGACAACUGACGCUGAGGCGCGAAAGUGUGGGGAGCAAACAGG
rnacentral:rRNA from 1 species